GGGCGUAUAAAAAUCAAGUUGAUAUAGUUAAAUUGAUUAUUGACAGUAGAUUUAUAUUGCCUGAUAUUAACAGUUGUACUGAUUUAGACAAAAUUUAAAAAAUGUCUACCGAUAUGUACGUGCUUUAGGUUGCAUACCAAGAGAACUUGCAUUCUGCAGAAACUGUGAAUCCGUCCGAUGAACUGUAUUUAAAAGUAAAACCAAAUAUUGAACAUUUG
rnacentral:lncRNA from 1 species